UACUAACGCUGGCGGCGUGCUUAACACAUGCAAGUCGAACGGAAAGGCCCUGCUUUUGUGGGGUGCUCGAGUGGCGAACGGGUGAGUAACACGUGAGUAACCUGCCCUUGACUUUGGGAUAACUUCAGGAAACUGGGGCUAAUACCGGAUAGGAGCUCCUGCUGCAUGGUGGGGGUUGGAAAGUUUCGGCGGUUGGGGAUGGACUCGCGGCUUAUCAGCUUGUUGGUGGGGUAGUGGCUUACCAAGGCUUUGACGGUUAGCCGGCCUGAGAGGGUGACCGGCCACAUUGGGACUGAGAUACGGCCCAGACUCCUACGGGAGGCAGCAGUGGGGAAUAUUGCACAAUGGGCGGAAGCCUGAUGCAGCAACGCCGCGUGCGGGAUGACGGCCUUCGGGUUGUAAACCGCUUUCGCCUGUGACGAAGCGUGAGUGACGGUAAUGGGUAAAGAAGCACCGGCUAACUACGUG
rnacentral:rRNA from 1 species